GCUGAGCUGCCGCCGCUCCGGCAGAGCACGGCAGAGCCGCAGCCUCGGCGGCGGCGGCAGCGGCAGCAGCGCCUCCGCCCGCAGUGCGUGUGUGUGCGUGUGUGUGAUGAGCGAUCGCCGCGUCCCUCCGCCCGCUGCCGGCUGACACCCACCGCGCGGGGCGCGCCAGGAGCCGCAGGAGCAGCCGAGGAGCCGCGGCCAGCGCGCAGUGACCUUGGCCCAGAGUGCAGCAUCCAAAAGCGGAUCAAAUUUGUGGGACAUGGCGCAAGGAAAUAAUUAUGGGCAAAGCAGCAAUGGGGUGGCUGAUGAAUCCCCAAACAUGCUGGUGUACAGAAAGAUGGAAGAUGUCAUAGCCCGCAUGCAAGAUGAGAAAAAUGGGAUUCCUAUUCGGACAGUGAAAAGUUUUCUUUCCAAGAUUCCCAGUGUCUUUUCUGGUUCAGAUAUUGUUCAAUGGUUAACGAAGAACUUAUCAAUAGAAGACCCAGUUGAAGCUCUGCAUUUGGGAACUCUGAUGGCAGCACAUGGCUAUUUCUUCCCAAUUUCAGACCAUGUUCUAACACUGAAGGAUGAUGGCACCUUUUAUCGAUUCCAGACACCCUAUUUUUGGCCAUCAAAUUGUUGGGAGACGGAAAACACAGACUAUGCUGUUUACCUCUGCAAGCGGACAAUGCAAAACAAAGCAAGGCUAGAACUAGCAGACUAUGAAGCUGAGAGUUUGGCCAGGCUACAGCGAGCUUUUGCUCGGAAAUGGGAGUUUAUUUUUAUGCAAGCUGAAGCACAAGCAAAGGUUGACAAGAAGAGAGACAAGAUAGAGAGGAAGAUUCUCGACAGUCAGGAGCGAGCAUUUUGGGAUGUGCACCGUCCGGUGCCUGGCUGUGUAAACACUACUGAAGUGGAUAUAAAAAAAUCUUCAAGAAUGAGAAAUCCACAUAAAACAAGAAAGUCUGUCUAUGGCUUACAAAAUGACAUUCGAAGUCACAGCCCUACGCACACGCCAGUGCCAGAGACUAAGCCACCCACAGAAGAUGAACUACACCAAGAGAUUAAGCACUGGCAAAUGCAAUUAGACAGACAUAGAUUAAAAAUGUCAAAAGUUGCAGAGAGUCUAUUAGCUUAUACAGAGCAGUAUUUGGAAUAUGAUCCUUUUCUUGUGCCCCCUGAUCCCUCAAACCCUUGGAUAUCAGAUGACACCACUUUCUGGGAACUGGAGGCAAGCAAAGAGCCAGGACAGCAGAGGGUGAAACGAUGGGGAUUUGGCAUGGAUGAAGCUUUGAAAGACCCUGUGGGAAGAGAGCAGUUUCUGAAAUUCUUGGAGUCAGAAUUCAGUUCAGAAAAUUUGAGGUUCUGGUUAGCAGUAGAAGACCUGAAGAAGAGGCCAAUCCGUGAAGUUCCUGCUCGCGUCCAAGAAAUCUGGCAAGAAUUUCUUGCUCCAGGUGCACCCAGCGCCAUCAACCUAGAUUCAAAAAGUUAUGACAAAACCACUCAGAAUGUGAAGGAACCUGGAAGAUACACAUUUGAAGAUGCUCAGGAGCACAUUUACAAACUGAUGAAAAGUGAUUCUUAUCCUCGUUUUAUACGAUCCAGUGCCUACCAGGAGCUGCUACAGGCCAAGAAAAAGGUAUUGGUCCAUCUUGCCUUUGUCUUGCCACUGUGCAAAGCAGUGGUUAUGUUUGCAACAAUACUCAGUCUUCUCUCCCCUGUGCCAGUGCAACUGGAUAUCUGGUAGGUGACCAGCUUGGCGUUUUUGGAGGGUCACAUACACACAGGAGUUCAAUAUACAUAUAUGUGUAUAUAUCCUGCAUGCGGGCAUGUUUCAAUAAGUUAAUCUAGCAAAAAUUAUUUUUAUUUUUACAUCCCAUAUUGUACUGUUUUCUCUGUUAUGAAGCACCUUAAAUUGCAAAGUGCUUUACAAAUACAUUAAAAAAAAUAAAAUAAAAUCCCAGAAGAAUAGUCUUUCAUGUUUGCAAGUUUGCUUAUGUAAUAAUUGUUGUUCUCUUUAUUCCACCUAUGAAAGCUCCAGAAUGUGUUUAGAAACAAUCUUAUUCAUAUGAAUAACUUCUAACUUCAACUAUAAAUAUAGGGGCUUCCCAAUUUUGUUUCUGUCCCUAUUACUACAUGAAUAGUUUUGAGUAGGCUAGGAAUCUGACUUGAAAGACUGAUCAUAUCACACUUUCGCAAACAGAGGUUCAUGUCUUGGUAUGUAAUAUUUUCUUAGAAAAGUCCAGUUAUAGAAUGGGUUCUGAAUAGCCACAGCCCAGGGUAUGUGGAGCAGCUUGUACAAUGCAGAUUUCCAUGAUGAUAAAUAAUUCUAUUAGUGGGCUCUAAACAGUAAUCUCCUAGAAUCAGCUGGGAGCCCUGUGCCUUGCAAAAUCGGGGCCCCGAUUGUUACUGGACCAAGGUAGUUACUAACACCGAAGCAUUCUAUUGUUAAUAAUGACAACCUAAAAUUAUAUGAAAGUACUGUGUGAUUUUGUUUUUUGUUCAAACGUUGAUUUCUGAAGAUCCAAUAUAGAGAGAGAUGUUGAAAAUACCAGAAAGCUUCAACUGUCCGUGUGAAGUCCUUAAGUUUGUGAAUGUCAGUUCAUUAACACGAGAUGUGCACUUCAUUAUUUCUUUUUACUUUCAGUUUUUCUUUAAAUUCAAACCAGUUUGAUCCCCAUGAAAAAUUACUUUUGUCUAGCGCUGUAUCUGUUUUGCCCAUCUCCUGUUUUGCCAAGUCCCAUUACAGCCUCACACCUGUGUUUGCUUCCUGAUUUAUACAAACUUUGUUUUGCAGUCCAUUGUUACAUCAAACCUCCUUUUCUACUCCAUUGUUCUUGCUUUUCUUUUCCCCCUCCUUUUUCUUUUUGUUUCUUUUGUUUUAUUUAUUUCAAAUUUAAGUUGGAAAACACUCUGGAUCGUCGAACAUCUUUUGAGAAAUUCACACGCAAUGUGGUAAGUUUGUUGCCUCGGAAGACUAGUAAGCCUGAUGGGACAUCCUUCUUCCCUUCCCCUCACUGAUCCCUACUUUCCCUUUUGCUUCUCUAACUUGGUGGUUAAAAGUGUAUUCAUCACAGCUUGUGAAUUUUCCUGGGAAUGACAGCUUUAUAAUGUGCUUUCAUUACAACCCCUCCUCCCUAGUCCCUUUCCCACUGAUCUCAGUAGUCACACAUGGAGGAAUGGACCUUUGGGAGCCAUGCUUUUUGCAUUAGGAAGCAUGAAACUAGUCACUUUUUUCCCCCCUAUAACUUCAGUAAAGAAUCUGUGAAAACAUGCUUGAUGUUGUUUCUUUUUCUGGUGCCUUCUAAAAUACUAAGUCUAAAACAGUUGAAUAUAUUGGAUUUGCAUCCUGUCUUCUUUUUAUUUUACUUAAAAAAAAUUUGUCCCUGUUUUUUCAAUUGGGCACAGGGAAAAACAAACAAUAUUAAUUUUCCCAUCUUCCUUAAUGUCUAACAGCUUCUACAGGACCACAGUAUUCGUGCUGUUUAUGUACAAGGGUUUGAUUUGGAUUCAUUUUCAUAAUGGAGUAAAAGAACUGAUUUUUUUUCUUUUCAAUGUAUAACUUUCAAAAGCUAUUUCUCAAAGGCAAAAAAAAUGAAGGCUGGUAGAUUUUGUCUGGGCAUUCUUUUGCCACCUGCCAGAAGAUCCACUAAUUUCAUGAUACUUAGGAUUCUUUUUACUUAUCCAGUUUCUUUGGGAUUUUUUUUCCUUUUACAUUGUGAAAGUUCCAACUAAAGAAUUCAACGCAUUUAUUUUUGUAGGGCAGAAACAUCCCUAUUUUUCCAUGCCAUAAAAACUGUACACCAACACUGAGGGCGAGCACUAACCUGUUAUGAAAAGAGGGGAAAUCGCUCACAUCAAAGAGGUUAACCAGUCUAGUGCAGUCCUACUAAAAGGAUCACCUUGUAGCAUGGAAGCAGACUCAAAUCAUUAUACAUACUUUGUAGCUCACUGAUUGCCUGACUCAGAGGACAGUAGAACAAGAUGUUGCAUGAGCAAGGACCUGACUUGUUUUCUUUUGUGUAUACUAAGGCAUUACAGACUCCGAGGGACUCUCUAGCCUUUCGAUGCCUCCAUUUCGAAAACUGUCUGCUCACUUCCUCCUUCAUAUCAAGCUGGAUCUGUGUCUUUUUAUUUUCUGCAAGCUCAAGUACAGUGAAAAAAAAGCUUCUGCUAGGCACAGUUUAUUAAAAAAAUACGUCAAUCAAAAACUGGAAGAAAUGUAAAAAAUGCAUAUAUUAAUAAAUAUACAUAUGGCAUCACAUUUAUUGCACAAUAAAUUAGCACAGAAGGUUUCAUUUCACUGAUGUAUUCACAUUGAGAAAGAAAGCCUGUGUCUUUGUCUGUUGUCUGUAUAUUCUCUGUUAAUGUUUCUUGCAUUUAUUUUUAUACCAUAUUUAAAAAAAGAACACCUUUUACUCCAGAUGUAUUAAAGUUGAUCCUUUCUCUGUAAAUUUGUGUAUGUUUAUAUUGUUGUUUUAUCUUUCAUUAAAAGAUGCAGAAUCUC